CUACGGGCGGCUCCAGUGGGGAAUAUUGGACAAUGGGGGAAACCCUGAUUCAGCAAUGCCGCGUGUGUGAAGAAGGCCUGCGGGUUGUAAAGCACUUUCGGUUGGGAGGACUGCUUCUAGCACUAAUAUUGUUGGAAGUUGACGUUACCUUCAGAAGAAGCACCGGCUAACUCCGUGCCAGCAGCCGCGGUAAUACGGGAGGGUGCAAGCGUUAAUCGGAAUUACUGGGCGUAAAGCGCGCGUAGGCGGCUAGAUCAGUCGGGUGUGAAAGCCCCGGGCUUAACCUGGGAACUGCAUCCGAUACUGGCCAGCUUGAGUACAGGAGAGGAGAGUGGAAUUCCACAUGUAGCGGUGAAAUGCGUAGAUAUGUGGAGGAACACCAAUGGCGAAGGCAGCUCUCUGGCCUGAUACUGACGCUGAGGUGCGAAAGCGUGGGGAGCAAACAGGAUUAGAUACCCCUGUAGUC
rnacentral:rRNA from 1 species